rnacentral:rRNA from 1 species
AACGAACGCUGGCGGCAGGCUUAACACAUGCAUGUCGAGCGCCCCGCAAGGGGAGCGGCAGACGGGUGAGUAACGCGUGGGAAUCUACCGUACCCUACGGAAUAGCUCCGGGAAACUGGAAUUAAUACCGUAUACGCCCUCGGGGAAGGAUUAUCGGGUAGUGAUGAGCCCGCCGUUGGAUUAGCUAGUUGGUGGGGUAA